UGGGAAAUGGCAGAGCCCUGAGUGAUAUCCCUGUGGGA
rnacentral:piRNA from 1 species